GCAGAAAGGAUUUUCUUCUUGCCUGGCAACAACCCAGCCAAUGAGAAGCCUCCACAGCCCAGCCAAUGAGAAACUGCCACAACCCCGCCAAUGAGAAGCCUCCAUAACUCAGCCAAUGAAAAGCUGCCACAAGGCAACCAAUGAGAAGCCGUCACAACCGGAACUCUAGCUCUCCUCCAAGGAACUUUUGUUUGGAACAACCCUGCCUAAUGCUUUCCUCUCCUCUACGAGAGGACCUUCUCCUCCUUUGUUCUCGGACGUGCCCGUGGCUUGCCAUGGUUUGCACGUCCUGAAUUGCAGUUUCUCUGCUAUUCCUGAAUAAUCUCAUUUUUGCUGGUUAAAUAACUGGCCGUUUUAUUUUUAUGGUUGACAGUGGUGAGGCAGCUCCAAGACAGAUGUGUGACGUUCGGACGAGAGGCGGCCUUGGAACGUCCUCCGAAGCUGUCCUUGAACACCAGCCCGGGAACGGGGAAACGUGCCGUGGGUGGAAUUGCUGAGCCCCUGAGAUGCAGGGGCCAGAGGACCAGCGGCAAAGCCUCUACUCUGAUUCUUACGGGCCAGAACACGGUUGCCGAACCGAGGCUUCCAGAACGGUGAGACAAAUACCGCCCCUUUGUUUGGACAGUGCUCUACGCUGCUGUGCUGUCUGAAGGUGACAAGAAUUGGGUAAAUAACUCGAGGAUGUUUCCAGCUGCUCAGGCAUAUUUCAGGCAUAUGAAGAAUCUUUCAGAUCGUCUUCUGUGUGGGCGAAUUGGGUCAUGGGGAGAACCCUUUCGUGUCACCCUCAGGGCCAUGGGCAAGACCCAGUGGUUCAAGUCAAAGAAUGAAAUGCUCAGUUCCCGUCGUGGCCCAGGCUCUCAGCCCUCACGUGUCCUGCGUCCUCAGCCUUCUCCCACCCACUGUUUCCUGGGUGCUCUGGGUUCUCAUGAAACCAUUUAUUGGCUUGGCUUCCUGAGUAAAUAAAAGAUCACAGCAUAACGCACUUUC